rnacentral:rRNA from 1 species
UGCAUAGCCUUAAACUUUAAUAAAAUAUACAUUUUAUUCGCCAGGGUACUACGAGCAUAAGCUUAAAACCUAAAGGACUUGGCGGUGCUUUAGACCCACCUAGAGGAGCCUGUUCUAUAACCGAUAACCCCCGUUAAACCUCACCUUUUCUUGUUUAUUCCGCCUAUAUACCGCCGUCGUCAGCUUACCCUGUAAAGGUAUUCUAGUAAGCAAAAUUGAUACAAUCCAAAACGCCAGGUCGAGGUGUAGCAUAUGAAAAGGAAAGAAAUGGGCUACAUUUCCUAUUUUAGGAUACCACGGAAAUUGAAAUGAAACAGCACAUUAAAGGAGGAUUUAGCAGUAAGAAGGAAUUAGAGAGUCCUACUGAAACUGGCCCUGAAGC